rnacentral:rRNA from 1 species
CCGGCGAGGGGAGUGAAAAAGAACCUGAAACCGUGUACGUACAAGCAGUGGGAGCACCCUUCGGGGUGUGACUGCGUACCUUUUGUAUAAUGGGUCAGCGACUUAUAUUCUGUAGCAAGGUUAACCGAAUAGGGGAGCCGGAGGGAAACCGAGUCUUAAUUGGGCGUUAAGUUGCAGGGUAUAGACCCGAAACCCGGUGAUCUAGCCAUGGGCAGGUUGAAGGUUGGGUAACACUAACUGGAGGACCGAACCGACUAAUGUUGAAAAAUUAGCGGAUGACCUGUGGCUGGGGGUGAAAGGCCAAUCAAACCGGGAGAUAGCUGGUUCUCCCCGAAAGCUAUUUAGGUAGCGCCUCGUGAAUUCAUCUCCGGGGGUAGAGCACUGUUUCGGCUAGGGGGCCAUCCCGGCUUACCAACCCGAUGCAAACUGCGAAUACCGGAGAAUGUUAUCACGGGAGACACACGGCGGGUGCUAACGUCCGUCGUGAAGAGGGAAACAACCCAGACCGCCAGCUAAGGUCCCAAAGUCAUGGUUAAGUGGGAAACGAUGUGGGAAGGCCCAGACAGCCAGGAUGUUGGCUUAGAAGCAGCCAUCAUUUAAAGAAAGCGUAAUAGCUCACUGGUCGAGUCGGCCUGCGCGGAAGAUGUAACGGGGCUAAACCAUGCACCGAAGCUGCGGCAGCGAACGUAUCACCCAAGACAACUUUACGGAGUUGACGAUUGACGGAGCGAAGCGACGUCAAAGCGUUCAUUAAAGUCGAGUUGGCUUAGGGAUACGUUCGUUGGGUAGGGGAGCGUUCUGUAAGCCUGUGAAGGUGUGUCGUGAGGCAUGCUGGAGGUAUCAGAAGUGCGAAUGCUGACAUAAGUAACGAUAAAGCGGGUGAAAAGCCCGCUCGCCGGAAGACCAAGGGUUCCUGUCCAACGUUAAUCGGGGCAGGGUGAGUCGACCCCUAAGGCGAGGCCGAAAGGCGUAGUCGAUGGGAAACGGGUUAAUAUUCCCGUACUUGGUGUUACUGCGAAGGGGGGACGGAGAAGGCUAUGUUGGCCGGGCGACGGUUGUCCCGGUUUAAGCGUGUAGGUGUGUGUUCCAGGUAAAUCCGGUUCACUUUAACACUGAGGCGUGACGACGAGGCACUACGGUGCUGAAGCAACAAAUGCCCUGCUUCCAGGAAAAGCCUCUAAGCAUCAGGUAACA